UACGUAGGUCCCGAGCGUUGUCCGGAUUUAUUGGGCGUAAAGCGAGCGCAGGUGGUUUAUUAAGUCUGGUGUAAAAGGCAGUGGCUCAACCACUGUACGCAUUGGAAACUGGUAGACUUGAGUGCAGGAGAGGAGAGUGGAAUUCCAUGUGUAGCGGUGAAAUGCGUAGAUAUAUGGAGGAACACCGGUGGCGAAAGCGGCUCUCUGGCCUGUAACUGACACUGAGGCUCGAAAGCGUGGGGAGCAAACAGG
rnacentral:rRNA from 1 species